UGCCUACGGGCGGCUGCAGUGGGGAAUAUUGCACAAUGGGCGAAAGCCUGAUGCAGCAACGCCGCGUGAGUGAUGAAGGCCUUCGGGUUGUAAAGCUCUGUCUUCUGGGACGAUAAUGACGGUACCAGAGGAGGAAGCCACGGCUAACUACGUGCCAGCAGCCGCGGUAAUACGUAGGUGGCAAGCGUUGUCCGGAUUUACUGGGCGUAAAGGAUGCGUAGGCGGAUACUUAAGUAAGAUGUGAAAAUCCCGGGCUUAACGUGGGAACUGCAUUUGAAACUGGGUAGCUAGAGUGCGGGAGAGGAAAGUGGAAUGCCUAGUGUAGCGGUGAAAUGCGUAGAGAUUAGGAAGAACACCAGUGGCGAAGGCGACUUUCUGGACCGUAACUGACGCUGAGGCAUGAAAGCGUGGGGAGCAAACAGGAUUAGAUACCCCAGUAGUA
rnacentral:rRNA from 1 species